rnacentral:rRNA from 1 species
AUUGAACGCUGGCGGCAGGCCUAACACAUGCAAGUCGAGCGGAGCGGCGGACGGGUGAGUAAUGCCUAGGAAUCUGCCUGGUCGUGGGGGAUAACGUACGGAAACGGGAGCUAAUACCGCAUACUAUCAGAUGAGCCUAGGUCGGAUUAGGGAGUUGGUGGGGUAAAGGCUUACCAAGGCGACGAUCCCUAACUGGUCGGAGAGGAUGAUCAGGCACACUGUAACUGAGAAACGGUCCAGACUCCUACGGGAGGCAGCAGUGGGGAAUAUUGGACAAGUGGCGAAAGCCUGAUCCAGCCAUGCCGCGUGUGUGAAGAAGGUCUUCGGAUUUUAAAGCACUUUAAGUUUGGAGGCGUUACCAGCAGAAUAAGCACCGGCUAACUUCGUGCCAGCAGCCGCGGUAAUUC